CCUGCUCAUCCCUGGUGCACCUAGUAACAAUGUAUGCCGUGUUGUUUCCUGUAUUCCAUCUUGUCUGAAGAUAAAGCAGGAUUUCAGUCUGAUGUUUGGUGAUGACAUCUCUGCAGAGUUCCUGGAGAAGUGACCUACUCACUGCAGGCAGAAAGUCCUUGAACAAAGCCGUGGCCUCACCCAGACAAGCCACCUUGAAGAUCUCCUUCAUAACGCUGAUUCCACAACAGAACAACUGGAACAUGGAUGGGACCGUGAGAUGACCUCCGUCUUGCUCCUUAACCACUCAUGCCACCAUCACCUGAUGGCCGCAACAAGAGACCAGGAAAGCUCUCAGCCAGACAAGCCAUUGACCACCUUGUGAAAUUUAUCAAGACUGGGACCAGUGUUGAGGGGCAUCUGGACAGCAUCACAGAGAGGCGUCAACCCUAUCUACUGGCUGUGGGGACCCAGAAGAGCGCCAUACACAAGCAUUUCAUUGUGAUUGACAAACAUGCAAUCCCGUGUCAGUCACCAGAUUCUCUUGCCUCUUUCGACAAGCUUUUUAAAGCUCAUUUCGUCUUCGCUACCUCGUACAACAGGGAUCUGGCCAAUGUCUACCACUUUUUGCAAACCGCUGUUUACCAGAUUGAUGCUGCUACCACCAAGGUGAAUCCCAGGGUCAAAGAGAUGAGGGCUCGGAUGCUGCACUGGUUUUGACACCUUGAGAUGCUUUGGUUUGGAGGGUUCGGAUGCUGUACUGCAAAGAUGUAUUUUGAGGGCUCUGAUGCGUCACUGAUUUGAUACAGAGAUGUUUUGUUUUAUUUGCAAAGGCCCUCAGGCAAAUGCCAAUUCAUGAAUUAAGCACUUAAAGUUGAUCCACGGACUUUGUUCAGGAAAGACACUUGGCCUGAAAUGUGGUCAGCCUGGUUGUUCUCAUUUCUUUGGUACUUUUUCUGGGUUUCCAAACCAUCUUAAAGCCCCUGAAGCGUGUGAUGAUCCUGGUGAAGGCCCCUCUACAACUGAAGAUUUAGCCGGACGUUUUGUUGAUGACUUUGCAUCAAACAGUGCCCCUUCUGACCCAGUCCUCCUUAAUAAGAGUCUUGUAGACAGCUGUGCUGCUACAGUAGCUGUGAGGUUGAGUGUAAAAUUGAUGAUUGCUUUGAAAACAUUGAAAAUCCUUUUGGUGUCUUAAAUUCUGAAACUAAGAGAAGGCAGUAUUUCACAGAUGCUGUUGUUUACAUUUGCACUACAAACAGUGUGUAUGGAUGAGCAUUUUUAAGCAUUUGAAGUUGUGUGUACUGCAGAAGGACCUCAUGUUGUUGAUGUCAAAGAGCUUUUGUGUUACAAAGCAUUGGAUAUGCAGAUGUCAUACAGUAAUGAUGAUUCAAGUUCAUGUAUUGUUCCGUACUGUUUCCUGUGAUAAAAGAAUGGCUAAGAUCUAACUGUUGCACUGGGGAUGAACAAUGGAUUUCUGAAUUUCUUUGCCCAUAACUCAAAUUCUAAUGUUUUCAUAUUUCCUCCUCUUUUUUCGAAUCCACCCAAUUUUAAAGAGCACAUUGUGUCCAAAUUGUGAUUGCCCACCAGUUGGGCGUAAAUGUUUUGGCUGGGCUGAUGGCUAUUGCAGUAUUUUACAUCCUUAUCUGCAGCUGCUGAUGGUGUGGUGAUCGUGUGCAUACCUGUUUGCAAUAUUCUAUUUGUUUUUAUUAUGAAAUUUUAGGGAUGUGUCACCCUUAAAGACUUUUUGUCCCCCCUCAUAUUAAUUACUCUGCCCAUGGAGCCUUAUUCAUGGAGAUUUUUGUUCCAGGUUUUGAGGCCAUUUUAACCACCGUGUGGUGGUAACGUUAUGAUAUUACAUACAGAACGCUGCCUCAAUUGUGAGCUAACGUUGGCUAAGGGAUGCUAACGUUAGGUUCCGCCCUCAUAACCGAACCUUCUUUCCAGCUCUGUCAGUCACACGGUUCACGAUGAACUGUCACAAAGGUAAAUACUUCAAUGAACAACUCUACUUUUGUGUCUGAAUGUUGUCUUUUGUUCAAGAAUAUGUACCUUUCCAGGUGCCGUGUCGGACUGUAAGGAAACAGCUUGGGCGGAAGUGCGCUGCGCCUUCUUCGUGUUGGGUUAAAACGGAGCGGCUUUGACUUGCUGCCCCCUACAGGCUGUAUGUGAUAGAAAAGCAAAUUGUAUUGGAAAUUGUGCAAAUAGGUCAAAAUAAAAAAUAAUUUCAAAACUAAAAAAAGGCUAUGUAC